UACGAAGGGGGCUAGCGUUGCUCGGAAUCACUGGGCGUAAAGCGCACGUAGGCGGAUUGUUAAGUCGGGGGUGAAAUCCUGGAGCUCAACUUCAGAACUGCCUUUGAUACUGGCGAUCUUGAGUCCGGGAGAGGUGAGUGGAACUGCGAGUGUAGAGGUGAAAUUCGUAGAUAUUCGCAAGAACACCAGUGGCGAAGGCGGCUCACUGGCCCGGUACUGACGCUGAGGUGCGAAAGCGUGGGGAGCAAACAGG
rnacentral:rRNA from 1 species